rnacentral:rRNA from 1 species
GUGCCAGCCGCCGCGGUAAUACCGGCAGCCCGAGUGAUGGCCGAUCUUAUUGGGCCUAAAGCGUCCGUAGCUGGCCGCGCAAGUCCAUCGGGAAAUCCACCUGCUCAACAGGUGGGCGCCCGGUGGAAACUGUGCGGCUUGGGACCGGAAGGCGCGACGGGUACGUCCGGGGUAGGAGUGAAAUCCCGUAAUCCCGGACGGACUACCGAUGGCGAAAGCACUCUGAGAAGACGGCUUCGACAGUGAGGGACGAAAGCUCGGGUCUCAAACCGGAUUAGAAACCCGGGUAGUCC